rnacentral:rRNA from 1 species
AUGAUAAAGGAAUUUAGCUCUAUACGGAAUGACGCACCACAAUGGGUAUUACAGAGAGCUAAAACUUAUUUGGAACAUGAUAUGAUAUUCGUUCCAGUUAACAUUGAAGAGUUUCAUUGGUACCUAGCAGUUAUAAAUACCGGGAAGCGAUGUAUCCAGGUGCUCGACUCGGUAGGCCCAGGAAUGAACCGCAACGACCUCACUGCUAUGCUGAAAGGACUGGAAAAUGUACAAUAUGCUAAGCUUCAAAUGGAACUAAAAUCUGAUAAAUGGAAAGACUUAAACAUCAGUGCAUGGCCAAGGGAAGAGUGUAUUAAGAAGAGACUGCAGACAGAUAUUUUAGAACAAAACUAG